UACGGAGGGGGUUAGCGUUGUUCGGAAUGACUGGGCGUAAAGCGCGCGUAGGCGGAUCGCAAAGUCGGGGGUGAAGUCCCGGGGCUCAACCCCGGAAUGGCCUUCGAGACUCGCGGUCUGGAGUUCGAGAGAGGUGGGUGGAAUUCCGAGUGUAGAGGUGAAAUUCGUAGAUAUUCGGAGGAACACCAGUGGCGAAGGCGGCCCACUGGCUCGACACUGACGCUGAGGCGCGAAAGCGCGGGGAGCAAACAGG
rnacentral:rRNA from 1 species